rnacentral:lncRNA from 1 species
GCGGCCGCGGAGCCAGAGCCCCGGCACCGCCUGGAGAUCGUCUUCGUGUCCUCGGACCAAGACCAGCGGCAGUGGCAGGACUUCGUGCGGGACAUGCCAUGGCUGGCGCUGCCCUACAAGGAGAAGCACCGGAAGAGAAAUCUUACCUUCCUGGGGCCCCCUCCUCUGUGGCCCGGGACCCGGAGGCGGCUGCUGAUCGCGGCUUCAGCAGAGAGGGGAGCUCACUCCUCUCCCCCUUUCUUUCCUUGCCCCCGCCCCGCCCCCUGCGCUGAGUUAGUGGCCACCAGGGAGCUUUUCAUUGUCUGGCUGUCCAGCAAUCUUCCCAGGCCCAGAACAGCCCGCGGUCCUUGUAGAUGCCAUACUUUGGUGGUGGGCUGACUUGGCAUACUUCGAAUUAGAUGAUGAACUGAUCCCAUCGGUGCAGAUGAAUGACAGCAAACGGUCUACCAGUUUGCUGAUGGAAUUAGUUCGGUUUUCUGGGUGUAUCUGUUGGGUGAAGACGUCUGUUUCAAUAAAACAAAUUCAAGAC